UCUGCAAACCUUACUCCUACCACAAUCUUGUGAGAUAGAGAGGUUGUUUCCACUAGACCCUCGGGCUCAAAAACAUCAUAUCAAAGUUUAGAACUUGUAUAGUUUAACGAAGAAAGUUGUAUAGAGUUUGAUUCUGUCAAGUGUAUUCUGGAUUUCUCAAAAUGGAGUCCGAGGGAGUGUUACUGAAUUGUCCCGAGGCUGUUGCUUCUAUAUUGAGACAGAGAGUUGCUGUUUAAAGAUAUCAUUUCUUCCUAGGUUUUAGGUCAUAAAAUUGCCUUGGUAGUUAAGUCAAUGUGUUUUUGCUUACUUGCACAACCAGCAAUAGGAAAAUGCAGUCAACCUGUUUUAUAUGAACGAUUUCCUCGUUUCGAGGAACUAUUUUUUUUAUUGAUAUAGAACUUGAUGUGAAUUUUUCUUCAUUGAAAUUGCUAUGAAUUUUCUCAAAGUUGGAAUACUUUAUGUGGUAAGUUGACUUGGGUAAUCAAAUUGCUGUAUGUCUGUUGAGUCUAUUUUGAAUACAGAACAUCAACUCUUAAAAGGAGGACCAAAUUGUUACUACAACAUGUGUGCCAUGAACCAUUGUAUUUAUGGAGCCAUGGACACUAAUUAUUUAUUCAACAAAAGGAAAGAGGGAAAAAGUGUCGGUGGGGUGUAGAUGAGGUGUGUUGAAGGAUAGAGAGAAAUGCUACUUUUACAACGUGUUUGUUAUAUUUCUGUUAGGGAAGUCAUUCUCCUCAUUUUUAUGAAACUUGUUUUUCUAGAG
rnacentral:lncRNA from 1 species